GCAACAAGCAGCCUCUGAUGACAUCACUAGAGGCCACCAAUCAGAGGCCUUCAGGUCACAUGAUGGAGGUUUUUGUGUCCACACAAUGAAAGAUUCAUAUGGAGGAAACUAGAAAGAACAAGAGACUCUGCAGCUGCAGCAGGAAUGAGAAGCAAAGAAUCUGGUUCAGCCUGUCAGUGGCGACGGGAUUAAAACUUUCUGCAGUUUUUGCUGUCAGGAGUUUCCAGUUGGACAUGGAGGUGAGAACGAUUCAUCUCAGCCGCUUCACUGAAGCUCAAUGGGUUUUUCAGCUACAAUGCAGCUUGAUGCUGCUUUAGUUUUUCAUUCUGGUUUGAAGUUUUGAUUUUAAAACAUCUUCUGUUCUCUGAGGCCACCAGCUGGAAACAUGGAAGGAGAAAAAUCUGAACAUUGUGUGGAUUAAAUCCCUGGUUUUAUUCCAGAAUGUUACAUGGAAUAACAGGAACAGGAUUAAAUCAUGUUCUGGUGGAUGAAACUCAAAUGUGAAGGAAAUCAGAACAGGAGCAGCAGGAGUUCAUCCUGCAGUCGGUGGGUUGCUGGUUCGAUUCCCGCCCUCAUCGUUUGUGUCCCUCCACAGUCGCUCCGUUUCCAUCAACUAUAAAAACUGAGAAAUGUAACGGAAUAAACCCACUGAGGGGCUUGGAUGAAAGUUUUAGCGGUAGGAUGAGGAGGUUUUUCAGCCAAUCGAAACACUUUUUCACACCACGAGUCACGUGAUCAACAGCCGGAUGUUACUGCUGGGCGGAAACCAGGAAGACGGCAGGAAGUGUUUGGAGGAUGAUGGUUUGUUUUAGUUUUUUCUGGCUCCUCCAGAGCUUCACAGCAUCAGGUGAGAAAAAGCUGAGAGUCGUUCCAACAUGUUGAAUCCACCGCUCUUCUGUCAAAAUACAAUUUCCCAAAACGCAGCACAGGUAGCCGCUUCACAGUAGGCGGGGCUUAUCGCUCCAAGGCCUGAACGAGACGCUGACGUCUCCUCUGAUUGGCUGAUAGAUGAUGAGCGCUAGCGCCACCAUGGCUGAGUUAUGAGUUUGAACUUUCCAUCCGUGUCUGCCAUGAAUAUUAAUGACUUUUCUCUGGAGAUAAAUUAUUCACAUGUGGUUUUAAUUUCAUUUCUUAUUUCAUGGAAACACUGCAACAGUGAAAUUGUGUUUUUUUGACAUUAGCAGAAAACAGACUGAGAUUUGCUGACAGUUGUCAUGGAAACCUCCCAGAGUGACGAAGACUCCUCCAGGCCUUCAUCGCCGCAGCUCGUUCCGGCCGCUGCUGCAGCACCCAGACACCGGCGGCCCUCGGGGGCCCGGCGGUGGCAGCAUCAUGCCGCCGCCUCUCUGUGUUUCCUGCAGGAGAAGGAAGGCGGCGUCCUGCCGUCCUGGAGGAUCUGCUGUUCUCCACCAUGGCAGAGGGACAGGAGGACGUCCCAGCGUGAGUCUCCAGAGGACGGACACGGAGACGCCGUCCGCCUCGCCGUCUCUGCCUUCAGGCUCUGAAAUCCACGGGGCGUCGGACCGGAGACCCUCGGCUCAAAGAGGUCAAGGAGACGCUGAAGGUCGCCAUGGAGACGACCUCAGACGGAGCGCUGGACCGACUCCUCCUCAAGAAUGUGAACUAGAAGCAGCUCCACAGAGAUGAAAACAGCCCGCAGAGACUCUGAGCGGAGCUAGCGAUGCUAACGAUGCUAACAGGCUCCAGCAGCAGCUGUGGCUCCUAAACUCCUAAACGUCUCAAUCACGUCACUAAACUGGUUUCUACCAGAAGAUGAACCAGGGUCGGCAUGGUGACGCGGUUCCAGCGGCGCCCCCUAGAGGCUGUGUAGACCACUGCAGUCCUGAGUUGGACUCUGUCCUCAGGUCCUUUGCUGCGUCUGUCCUCCCUCUCUGUCCACUUCCUGUUGGAUGACUGUCAAAUUAAAGCAACUAGUGCAAAAAAACUGUUAGGUAAAUUGUAUUUAUUAUUAUCAAAUAUUUGUUGUUUCAUGUGCCUUUAUAAUGU